rnacentral:rRNA from 1 species
GAUGAACGCUAGCGGCAGGCUUAACACAUGCAAGUCGAGGGGUAACAGGGUUUAGUUUACUAGAUUGCUGACGACCGGCGCACGGGUGAGUAACGCGUAUACAGUUUGCCUUUUACUGGAGGAUAGCCCAGAGAAAUUUGGAUUAAUACUCCAUAGUAUUAAUUGGUCACCUGAUCGAUUAAUUAAAGUUCCGGCGGUAAAAGAUGAGUAUGCGUCCUAUUAGCUAGAUGGUAAGGUAACGGCUUACCAUGGCGACGAUAGGUAGGGGUCCUGAGAGGGAGAUCCCCCACACUGGUACUGAGACACGGACCAGACUCCUACGGGGAGCAGCAGUGAGGAAUAUUGGGCAAUGGAGGCAACUCUGACCCAGCCAUGCCGCGUGCAGGAAGACGGCCCUAUGGGUUGUAAACUGCUUUUAUACAGGAAGAAACUUACCCACGUGUGGGUAACUGACGGUACUGUAAGAAUAAGGACCGGCUAACUCCGUGCCAGCAGCCGCGGUAAU